UUUUGGUUGUCCGACAAGAAAUCACAAGAAAGCGUACGUCAACGAGGAGAAGCAAGUAAUCAUGAGAAAUUUGCUGCUGCCAAUACCGUCAGAGCCUUCACUCAAGGCAGAUGUGGGACGACUGCAGUGUUCUCUGCUUCUUGUCGUGGGCGAGGAUGAUCAGAACUGGCCUUCGUAUGAAUCUGCACUGGAU